UACGUAGGGGGCAAGCGUUGUCCGGAAUUAUUGGGCGUAAAGAGCGUGUAGGCGGCUUGGUAGGUCCGCUGUGAAAACUCGAGGCUCAACCUCGAGAUGUCGGCGGAAACCGCUUGGCUAGAGUCCGGAAGAGGAGAGUGGAAUUCCCGGUGUAGCGGUGAAAUGCGCAGAUAUCGGGAAGAACACCUAUGGCGAAGGCAGCUCUCUGGGACGGUACUGGCGCUGAGACGCGAAAGCGUGGGGAGCGAACAGG
rnacentral:rRNA from 1 species